AUUGAACGCUGGCGGCAGGCCUAACACAUGCAAGUCGAGCGGAUGAAGGGAGCUUGCUCCUGGAUUCAGCGGCGGACGGGUGAGUAAUGCCUAGGAAUCUGCCUGGUAGCGGGGGAUAACGUCCGGAAACGGGCGCUAAUACCGCAUACGUCCUGAGGGAGAAAGUGGGGGAUCUUCGGACCUCACGCUAUCAGAUGAGCCUAGGUCGGAUUAGCUAGUUGGUGGGGUAAAGGCCUACCAAGGCGACGAUCCGUAACUGGUCUGAGAGGAUGAUCAGUCACACUGGAACUGAGACACGGUCCAGACUCCUGCGGGAGGCAGCAGUGGGGAAUAUUGGACAAUGGGCGAAAGCCUGAUCCAGCCAUGCCGCGUGUGUGAAGAAGGUCUUCGGAUUGUAGAGCACUUUAAGUUGGGAGGAAGGGCAGUAAGUUAAUACCUUGCUGUUUUGACGUUACCAACAGAAUAAGCACCGGCUAACUUCGUG
rnacentral:rRNA from 1 species